rnacentral:rRNA from 1 species
ACGAACGCUGGCGGCGUGCUUAACACCUGCAAGUCGAACGGAAAGGCCCUGCUUUUGUGGGGUGCUCGAGUGGCGAACGGGUGAGUAACACGUGAGUAACCUGCCCUUGACUUUGGGAUAACUUCAGGAAACUGGGGCUAAUACCGGAUAGGAGCUCCUGCCGCAUGGUGGGGGUUGGAAAGUUUCGUCGGUUGGGGAUGGACUCGCGGCUUAUCAGCUUGUUGGUGGGGUAGUGGCUUACCAAGGCUUUGACGGGUAGCCGGCCUGAGAGGGUGACCGGCCACAUUGGGACUGAGAUACGGCCCAGACUCCUACGGGAGGCAGCAGUGGGGAAUAUUGCACAAUGGGCGGAAGCCUGAUGCAGCAACGCCGCGUGCGGGAUGACGGCCUUCGGGUUGUAAACCGCUUUCGCCUGUGACGAAGCGUGAGUGACGGUAAUGGGUAAAGAAGCACCGGCUAACUACGUG